rnacentral:rRNA from 1 species
GAUGAACGCUAGCGGCAGGCCUAAUACAUGCAAGUCGAACGGGUGGUCGCAAGACCACUAGUGGCGCACGGGUGCGUAACGCGUAACCAACCUGCCCCGAUCUGGGGGAUAGCCCGCCGAAAGGCGGAUUAAUACCGCAUAUACCCGCAGCCUGGCAUCAGGCAACGGGGAAAGAUUUAUUGGAUCGGGAUGGGGUUGCGUGACAUUAGCUAGUUGGCGGGGUAAGGGCCCACCAAGGCGACGAUGUCUAGGGGACCUGAGAGGGUGAUCCCCCACACUGGCACUGGGAUACGGGCCAGACGCCUACGGGAGGCAGCAGUAGGGAAUAUAGGGCAAUGGGCGAGAGCCUGACCCAGCCAUGCAGCGUGACGGAUGAAGGCCUUCUGGGUUGUAAACGGCUUUUCUCAGGGAAGAAAAAGACCUUGCGAGGUACACUGACGGUACCUGAGGAAUAAGCACCGGCUAACUCCGUG